rnacentral:rRNA from 1 species
AGUGGCGCACGGGUGCGUAACGCGUGGGAAUCUGCCCUUAGGUACGGAAUAACUCAGAGAAAUUUGUGCUAAUACCGUAUGAUGUCGAAAGACCAAAGAUUUAUCGCCUAAGGAUGAGCCCGCGUAAGAUUAGCUUGUUGGUGAGGUAAAAGCUCACCAAGGCGACGAUCUUUAGCUGGUCUGAGAGGAUGAUCAGCCACACUGGGACUGAGACACGGCCCAGACCCCUACGGGAGGCAGCAGUGGGGAAUAUUGGACAAUGGGCGAAAGCCUGAUCCAGCAAUGCCGCGUGAGUGAUGAAGGCCUUAGGGUUGUAAAGCUCUUUUACCAGGGAUGAUAAUGACAGUACCUGGAGAAUAAGCUCCGGCUAACUCCGUGCCAGCAGCCGCGGUAAUACGGAGGGAGCUAGCGUUAUUCGGAAUUACUGGGCGUAAAGAGUACGUAGGCGGUGAUUCAAGUCAGCGGUGAAAGCCUGGAGCUCAACUCCAGAACUGCCUUUGAAACUAGAUCGCUAGAAUUAUGGAGAGGUUAGUGGAAUUCCGAGUGUAGAGGUGAAAUUCGUAGAUAUUCGGAAGAACACCAGUGGCGAAGGCGACUAACUGGACAUAUAUUGACGCUGAGGUACGAAAGCGUGAGGAGCAAACAGGAUUAGAUACCCUGGUAGUCCACGCCGUAAACGAUGAUAACUAGCUGUUCGGGG